UACACUCUGCGGGAGGCAGCAGUGGGGAAUAUUGGACAAUGGGCGCAAGCCUGAUCCAGCCAUGCCGCGUGAGUGAUGAAGGCCCUAGGGUUGUAAAGCUCUUUCACCGGUGAAGAUAAUGACGGUAACCGGAGAAGAAGCCCCGGCUAACUUCGUGCCAGCAGCCGCGGUAAUACGAAGGGGGCUAGCGUUGUUCGGAUUUACUGGGCGUAAAGCGCACGUAGGCGGACUAUUAAGUCAGGGGUGAAAUCCCGGGGCUCAACCCCGGAACUGCCUUUGAUACUGGUAGUCUUGAGUUCGAGAGAGGUGAGUGGAAUUCCGAGUGUAGAGGUGAAAUUCGUAGAUAUUCGGAGGAACACCAGUGGCGAAGGCGGCUCACUGGCUCGAUACUGACGCUGAGGUGCGAAAGCGUGGGGAGCAAACAGGAUUAGAAACCCUAGUAGUCCCAUGA
rnacentral:rRNA from 1 species